UUUUUUGUGAAAAUUGUCGACAAAAAAAUAUUUUCUUUGGUUAAAAUCAAAAUCACGCGAAUUUAAGACCCAUUUCUGGACGAAACUCUAAGAGGCGUCAAAAAGUUGCAAGAAUUCAAGAGAAGUGAAGAAUUAGUGGAGGAGAUGCGGAAGCUCAAAUAAGGGGAAAGAAAUCAUCUAGGUAUCAAUGCAACAGGAGGCAGCGACAGCUGGGAUGGCGAUCAAUGAAUGAAAUGUGUAAAAUAAUUAAAAAAUAAAUAUUUUAUACCAUUGAAAAAAUAA